rnacentral:sRNA from 1 species
GCUUGCUGGGAGACGGGGAGCUGUCAGAGGGCUCCGUAUGGGAGGCCAUGGCCUUCGCCAGCAUCUAUAAGCUGGACAACCUUGUGGCCAUUCUAGACAUCAAUCGCCUGGGCCAGAGUGACCCGGCCCCGCUGCAGCACCAGAUGGACAUCUACCAGAAGCGGUGCGAGGCCUUCGGUUGGCAUGCCAUCAUCGUGGAUGGACACAGCGUGGAGGAGCUGUGCAAGGCCUUUGGCCAGGCCAAGCACCAGCCAACAGCCAUCAUUGCCAAGACCUUCAAGGGCCGAGGGAUCACAGGUCAGUAUGCACAAGCCGCCCUCCCCACCUUCACCCCUGGCCCAGACACUGUGGCUACGUAGCUCUGACCCUCACAUCCAGGGAAACAGCCCUUGCUGCUCACUGAGUGCACCAGGCUCCAGGGAAGGGGAGCGGGAGAUGCUGUGACUCAGUGACCCCUGUGGCUGAGCCAGGAUUUAAACUCAGAUCCGUCUGGCCUCUGCCGGUGGGGGCAUGUACAGGCAGGAGGAGAGGAAGGACUUGGAGGGUCUGUGGGUGAGAGGAAGGUCGUGGAGUGAGGCAGCCCCCGUGCCCCACCCUGGCUGGUGCCUUUCAGAGCUGCAGCUGUGUGUGCUCUGCCAGCUCCGGCCACCUGCUCCAGCUGAAGGGCCAACACAGAGCCAGGCAGGGCCUGGA